rnacentral:rRNA from 1 species
CAGCCGCCGCGGUAAUACCAGCCCCGCGAGUGGUCGGGACGAUUAUUGGGCCUAAAGCGUCCGUAGCCGGCCCGGCAAGUCCCUCUUUAAAGCCCACGGCUCAACCGUGGGAGCGGAGGGAUACUGCCGGGCUAGGGGGCGGGAGAGGCCGGGGGUACUCCUGGGGUAGGGCGAAAUCCUAUAAUCCCAGGAGGACCACCAGUGGCGAAGGCGCCCGGCUGGCACGCGCCCGACGGUGAGGGACGAAAGCUGGGGGAGCAAAGGGGAUUAGAUACCCCCGUAGUCCCAGCUGUAAACGAUGCGGGCUAGAUGUUGGGCGGGCCUCGAGCCCGCCCAGUGUCGUAGGGAAGCCGUUAAGCCCGCCGCCUGGGGAGUACGGCCGCAAGGCUGAAACUUAAAGGAAUUGGCGGG